rnacentral:rRNA from 1 species
UACAGAGACUGCAAGCGUUAUUCGGAUUCACUGGGCGUAAAGGGUGCGCAGGCGGUUGGGUGUGUCAGAUGUGAAAUCCCGAGGCUCAACCUCGGAACUGCGUCUGAAACUACUCGACUAGAGUACUGGAGAGGGUAACGGAAUUCACGGUGUAGCAGUGAAAUGCGUAGAUAUCGUGAGGAACACCAGAGGCGAAGGCGGUUACCUGGAUAGUUACUGACGCUCAGGCACGAAAGCAUGGGGAGCAAAAGGG